UUAGUGGAACGGUCUGGAAAGUCCGACGGUACAGGGUGAUAGUCCCGUACACCAAAAUGCACAGGCUGUGAACUCGAAGAGUAGGGCGGGACACGUGGUAUCCUGUCUGAAUAUGGGGGGACCAUCCUCCAAGGCUAAAUACUCCUGACUGACCGAUAGUNAACCAGUACCGUGAGGGAAAGGCGAAAAGAACCCCGGCGAGGGGAGUGAAAAAGAACCUGAAACCGUGUACGUACAAGCAGUGGGAGCACCUUCGGGUGUGACUGCGUACCUUUUGUAUAAUGGGUCAGCGACUUAUAUUCUGUAGCAAGGUUAACCGUAUAGGGGAGCCGCAGGGAAACCGAGUCUUAACUGGGCGUUAAGUUGCAGGGUAUAGACCCGAAACCCGGUGAUCUAGCCAUGGGCAGGUUGAAGGUUGGGUAACACUAACUGGAGGACCGAACCGACUAAUGUUGAAAAAUUAGCGGAUGACUUGUGGCUGGGGGUGAAAGGCCAAUCAAACCGGGAGAUAGCUGGUUCUCCCCGAAAGCUAUUUAGGUAGCGCCUCGUGAANUCAUCUUCGGGGGUAGAGCACUGUUUCGGCUAGGGGGUCAUCCCGACUUACCAACCCGAUGCAAACUACGAAUACCGAAGAAUGUUAUCACGGGAGACACACGGCGGGUGCUAACGUCCGUCGUGAAGAGGGAAACAACCCAGACCGCCAGCUAAGGUCCCAAAGUCAUGGUUAAGUGGGAAACGAUGUGGGAAGGCACAGACAGCCAGGAUGUUGGCUUAGAAGCAGCCAUCAUUUAAAGAAAGCGUAAUAGCUCACUGGUCGAGUCGGCCUGCGCGGAAGAUGUAACGGGGCUAAACCAUGCACCGAAGCUGCGGCAGCGACACUAUGUGUUGUUGGGUAGGGGAGCGUUCUGUAAGCCUGCGAAGGUGACCUGUGAGGGUUGCUGGAGGUAUCAGAAGUGCGAAUGCUGACAUAAGUAACGAUAAAGCGGGUGAAAAGCCCGCUCGCCGGAAGACCAAGGGUUCCUGUCCAACGUUAAUCGGGGCAGGGUGAGUCGACCCCUAAGGCGAGGCCGAAAGGCGUAGUCGAUGGGAAACAGGUUAAUAUUCCUGUACUUGGUGUUACUGCGAAGGGGGGACGGAGAAGGCUAUGUUAGCCGGGCGACGGUUGUCCCGGUUUAAGCAUGUAGGCUGGUUNUCCAGGCAAAUCCGGAUAAUCAAGGCUGAGGUGUGAUGACGAGGNACUACGGUGCUGAAGUAACAAAUGCCCUGCUUCCAGGAAAAGCCUCUAAGCAUCAGGUAACAUNAAAUCGUACCCCAAACCGACACAGGUGGUCAGGUAGAGAAUACCAAGGCGCUUGAGAGAACUCGGGUGAAGGAACUAGGCAAAAUGGUGCCGUAACUUCGGGAGAAGGCACGCUGGUGUGUAGGUGAAGUCCCUGCGGAUGGAGCUGAGACCAGUCGAAGAUACCAGCUGGCUGCAACUGUUUAUUAAAAACACAGCACUGUGCAAACACGAAAGUGGACGUAUACGGUGUGACGCCUGCCCGGUGCCGGAAGGUUAAUUGAUGGGGUUAUCCGUAAGGAGAAGCUCUUGAUCGAAGCCCCGGUAAACGGCGGCCGUAACUAUAACGGUCCUAAGGUAGCGAAAUUCCUUGUCGGGUAAGUUCCGACCUGCACGAAUGGCGUAAUGAUGGCCAGGCUGUCUCCACCCGAGACUCAGUGAAAUUGAACUCGCUGUGAAGAUGCAGUGUACCCGCGGCAAGACGGAAAGACCCCGUGAACCUUUACUAUAGCUUGACACUGAACAUUGAGCCUUGAUGUGUAGGAUAGGUGGGAGGCUUUGAAGCGUGGACGCCAGUCUGCGUGGAGCCAACCUUGAAAUACCACCCUUUAAUGUUUGAUGUUCUAACGUUGGCCCCUGACCGGGGUUGCGGACAGUGUCUGGUGGGUAGUUUGACUGGGGCGGUCUCCUCCCAAAGCGUAACGGAGGAGCACGAAGGUUAGCUAAUCCUGGUCGGACAUCAGGAGGUUAGUGCAAUGGCAUAAGCUAGCUUGACUGCGAGCGUGACGGCGCGAGCAGGUGCGAAAGCAGGUCAUAUCACUGGUGUUCGGGUUGUCAUGCCAAUGGCACUGCCCGGUAGCUAAAUGCGGAAGAGAUAAGUGCUGAAAGCAUCUAAGCACGAAACUUGCCCCGAGAUGAGUUCUCCCUGAGACUUUAAGUCUCCUGAAGGAACGUUGAAGACGACGACGUUGAUAGGCCGGGUGUGUAAGCGCAGCGAUGCGUUGAGCUAACCGGUACUAAUGAACCGUGAGGCUUAACCUUACAACGCCGAAG
rnacentral:rRNA from 1 species